rnacentral:rRNA from 1 species
UAAAGACUUACCAAUAUACCGAUAAAUAACAUCAACAGAUAUAAAUUCAAAGAAUUUGGCGGUGUCUUAUAUACUCAGGGGAACCUGUUUCUUAAUUCGAUAUUCCACGAAAAUCAAUCCACUUUUAGAAAAUCAGCCUGUGUACUGCUGUCGUAAGCAAACCUCUAAAAGCUAGUUUGCAAUAAUAAAUAUAUUAAUCACGUCAAGUCAAAGUGCAGCCAAUAAAGUGGAGUACAAUGGGUUACAAUCUCUAUAAGGACUACGAACUUAUUUAAUAAAAAAAUAAUAAAGGUGGACUUGAUAGUAACUAUUAAAAGAAAAUAUAGUAAACUAUUAAUCUAAGACAUGCACACAUCGCCCGUCACUCU